rnacentral:lncRNA from 1 species
AGGAGAAUACACACCAGGGAGAAGGGUUAUGAGUGCAGCGACCGCGGAAAAGCCUUCAACGACCCUUCAACCCUUAGGAGCCAUGCAAGAACUCACCUCAAAGAGAAGCCCUUUGACUGCAGUCAGUGUGGAAAUGCAUUCUGGACCCUCUCAGCCCUGAAAAUCCACGAGACUUCACACUGGUGAGAGCCCUUACAAGUGUGAUCAGUGCAGGAAGGCAUACGGCCAGAGCUGCCACCUCAUUGCACACAAAAGAACGCACACUGGAGAGAGGCCCUGUAAGUGUCACGACUGUGGGAAAGUUUUCUGGCACCCCUCCACCUCAACAAGCAGGUGAGGAAUCACACGGCGGAGAAGCCCUACGCAUGCACGCAGUGCGGCAAAACCUUCCGCUGGAAGUCGAACUUUAAUUUGCGCAAGAAGAACCACAUGGCGGAGAAGAGCUAUCAUGUCCCCGGAGGAAACACAUGAGACUUCACAUAGUCAAGAAACCCGUGGAAUGUCGGCAGUGUAGGAAAACCUUCCGAAACCAGUCCAUCCUUAAGACUCACAUGAACUCUCACGCAGGGCAGAAACUGUACGGGUGCGGUCUCUGCGGGAAAGCCUUCAGCGGGAGCUCAAGCCUCACUGCACACAGGAAGAUACACACACAAGAGAGACGUUAACGACUGCGCCACCUGCAGGAAAGUCUUCAGUGAUUAUUUAUCCCGGCGGAGGCACACGAGCAUUCACCUUGUAAAGAAACGCGUUGAGAGUAGGCAGUGUGACAAAGCCUUCAGGAACCAGUCAACGCUGGAGAAGCACAUGCAAAGCCACAUGAGGGAGAAACCGUAGGAAUGCGAUCACUGUGGGAAAGCCUUCAGCGUCAGCUCCAACCUGAACGUGCACAGAAGGAUCCACACCGGGGAGAAGCCCUAUGAAUGCCUUGUCUACGGGAAAGCCUUCAGCGAACAUUAUUCCUUCAGGAGCCACGUGAAAACUAACCGGGGAGAGAAGCUCUUUGAGUCGUCCAUGUGGAAAAGGCUCC